AUUGAACGCUGGCGGCAUGCCUUACACAUGCAAGUCGAACGGCAGCACGGGAGCAAUCCUGGUGGCGAGUGGCGAACGGGUGAGUAAAGUAUCGGAACGUGCCCAGUCGUGGGGGAUAACGUAGCGAAAGUUACGCUAAUACCGCAUACGAUCUAUGGAUGAAAGCGGGGGAUCGUAAGACCUCGCGCGAUUGGAGCGGCCGAUAUCAGAUUAGGUAGUUGGUGGGGUAAAGGCUCACCAAGCCGACGAUCUGUAGCUGGUCUGAGAGGACGAGCAGCCACACUGGGACUGAGACACGGCCCAGACUCCUACGGGAGGCAGCAGUGGGGAAUUUUGGACAAUGGGCGAAAGCCUGAUCCAGCCAUGCCGCGUGCAGGAUGAAGGCCUUCGGGUUGUAAACUGCUUUUGUACGGAACGAAAAGGUUUGGCCUAAUAAGCUGAGCUCAUGACGGUACCGUAAGAAUAAGCACCGGCUAACUACGUGCCAGCCGCCGCCGUAA
rnacentral:rRNA from 1 species